rnacentral:rRNA from 1 species
AGUAGCUGCCAGCUAGCUCUCUGCAACUCUCACAUGGUCGCCUGCUGAAGCUAAGCAGGGCUGCGCCUGGUCAGUACCUGGAUACGAGACCACAUGGGAAGCUAGUUUGCUGCUGGAA